AUUCAGCUGUGUGAUCAGAAGGGGUGGAGCCUGGCUGCGCCUCUCCUAGACCCCAUUUAAGAGCUGACUGCCACUGGGGAAGGAUCUCUUCCUGGAGAUAGCUCCCUUCAGAGUUUUUCUGUGUGCCUACAACAUGGCAGAGUUCUGAAGAACCACAGCUGAUCCCGUGACUUUUUUCACUCUCUGCUAUAUUUGAGCAAAUCAAAUCCUAGUAAAGAAGCGGUCAAAUUCAUUUGCAAGUGAGGUGCAUAUCCAAGCAUGUACUGAAGAAGUCCACAGAAGAGUAUGAGCAGGAAGGACAAGAAAAUAGCCUCCAUAUGGCCCACCAGACAAGAAGUCCACUGAGCUGAUUUCAUAGGAUUAUAGAAUGGCUUGGCUUGGAAGGGACCUCAGGGAUCAUCAUGUUCCAACGCCACUGCCACAGAUAUUGCUGGGCUUCAUCUUUUUCUGCAAACAGCACUGACAUUCCAGCAAGAGCUGCUCUCACGGCCAACUGACAGGCAGACUAGAAACUGGGGAAUGAAGAAAGCAAAAAAAUUCACAAAUUAACAGAGUAACUGGUGGCUUUGAUGUCUCCUGCAGCCUUCAAAUUAAGACUAGAUGCCUCUCUGGAAGGCAGACUUUAGUCAGACACUAAUUAUUGGAAUAUACAGAAGAGCAACCAGAUGGAACAGAAUGACUUUUGUUCUGCUAGAGGGUCAGGUGGUCCCUGCUGACCUGAAGAUCUAUGACUAUUUAACAAGAAGACAUAAAGAGACAGCCAAGCCAUGUGCUGUUGUCAACACUUUGCUAAAGUGGUAUAAUUAUGGAGAACAGGAACUCUUCUUGCUCUCCCAAACCUAAAUCUUACUAUUGCUUUGGCAAAGAACAUUCAUAACAGUUUCUGUUCAUUUAAAUUGGUUAAGUUUAAUCAUGAACACAAUGAUUUUGUGGCUGCAAUAGUGACAGUUUUUGUCCAUACUCCUGAAGUUCCUGGAUAUUCUGAGUUACUGACUCAAGUGGGAUUUGGAUAAGACCUGGUGACUUUCUGCUUCCAUUAUCAUGGCAUGUCACCUAGCAGAAUAUGACCUGGAGGAUGCUGCCCUCUGAGGAUGUUCCAAAAGAGCUGGAAGAAGGCAAUGCGUUGGUUGCAGGAAGAAGCAGGUGGGGCCUUUUUCUUCUCUCCAAAAGCUGCAAAUGCUGCAGUGCCAGUUCUGAUUUGUUCUGGAUCUUAACACUUGUAUCAUGGAGAAGAUUUCUUCAAAUUCCCCAAGUCUGAGUGGCAAGGCUCUGGAACAUGCUGCCCAGAAAGGUGGUGGUUGUCCUAUCCUUGGAGACAUUCAAGGUCAGGCUGGAUGGGGCUCUGAGCACCUGAUGGAGCUGUAGGUGUUCCUGUUCAUCACAGGGGAGUUGAAUCAGAUGAGCUUUCAAGGUCCCUUAUAACACAAACGAUUGUAUGACAAUUAUAUGUGGUAUAGCACAUAACAGUGGUUGUCUUCAUCUCUGUUCUUUAUCAGUGAGUAAAUAAAAGGGAAGUCAGAUGCCAGGUCUAACAUUUCUGCUUCCACUCUGUGUUGCUCUUUUCUCAGCAUCUCCAGUUUGAAGUGUUAAGAAUGCAAUAUCUGCAACAAAUUAAUUAGUAAAAUCGUCAAAUGAAGUUAAGAAACUUAAAUUAUUAAUUCUUGAUCUGAAGAUCACAGGGACAGUACCUGUAUUUUCUGCCAUUUCAUCUUUAUACUGCAAGAGGAAAAAAGCAAGAUAGACAUGCUGAAUGGUGAUGAGACGAAGUGUUGAAGUAUUUCUAUUUGGAGACAUGAAUUCAAACAUAUGGAAGGAACUGAGACCCUCUGACCUACACAAAGCCUCCAGACAGUCAAAAGCAUUCCCUUGGUUGCGUGCUGCAAGUGUCUUGUAAAAAUAAGGCUGCACUUAGAGCUGCUGAGCACCACAAACUUCUGAACAUUAAGCUCAGUGGAAAUUAAGACAAAACAUCCCACAUCUCUGUGCUAAAAAGGAGAUGAGCUGCCAAACAGAUUCUGUUGCCAGCUGCUGCCUACUUUGCUCCUUUUAGGAUCUGUCACCUGCUUUGAAAUUCUUGGUGACUAAUGUAGGCCAUCCCCAAUCCUCAGGCAGAAGUCACUGCUACUCAAUUAAUAUUAAAUACUUUUGGCUUAUUAACAUAAUAAUUCUGUUUUUGCCUAAUUGCAAUCUUUAAGGGAUUAUAUAUAGUUUUUUCCUCUCUGUUUGGAAGUCCUAAGAGCUCUGAAGUUAUUGAUCAAAUCUUCCCCACAAAUCCUAAUGGAACCACAAGAGCAUGUGAUAUAGCUCUGAUCAGUCUCUGUGUUGCUAGUGAAUGCACUUCAAGCAAAUGAGAUUUGUUUCAGCUCCAUGUUGCUCAUACAGAUGCUUUGAAGACAUAUGAAAUGAGUACUCCAGAUAAUUUUGGCACUAUUAGAGAUAAGAGUCUUAUCAGGACCUGAGGUACCAACCUAAUUUUUUUUUCAUGAAAGCUGCCAGAGUAAACCCAUGACUCUUCUGAAUCAGCACAUCACGUUUGUUGUGCUCUGCAGAAAGGAGAGAACAGCAAAAGAUAAUGGACCGUGAUAGCACUACAGCUCUGGGAAAUGGGGCAAUGGAAAUAGCAGCAAAUGGUGAUCAAAAUGUCUGUGUUAAAGCUCAGCCCUGGAACAGACUGGAUACAUCUCCUGUUCAGCUUCUUCCUCUGAAAAAUAAGACACUGUUUACUUCAGGCAUUUCUCAUUAAGCUCAGAAAAACAGUACAUUUUUUCUGAUUCUGGAAGGGUAAGAUUGGAAAUGGUGGCCUGAUAUCUGUUAGCAAAUAAAGAAAAGAGGAAACGGACAGUUUUGCAGAUAGUCCUUCUAAGUCUCUGCAAGAGUACUGCUGGAGUAGCAGAUGCUCAAAGGGAGCCUUUACAUACGUGUUACCCAUUUAACAGUGAUAAGAUGAAGCCCUCUGCAGACCGAGUAUGGGAGAUACAAGGAAUAAAGCUUGCCUACAGGUGGUUGACAAAUAAACCAAGUCUUUUAUGCCUAAAGACUGGAUAUUGACAUUUGGCAAACACAAAUCCUAGUGUGGUGGCAAUUCACAAUCCUCUUGAGGCUUUCCAAGGUCUCAGCACACGUGCUAAGAGCUUGCAUUGCCUAUGAACGUUUUCAUCAACCAUCAAUGGCUCAAGUCUUUAUAUUUCACACUACUAUAUCUCUAGGUUGCUAUGCAGCCAAAAAUCCUUGAUGAUUAGCAGAUAUUUGGACAUUCUGGUAAUGAAACCAUGUUAGUUGCCAGAGAAAGUGUCAGUAAUUGAUUGGUGUGAUGCACUAUGGAUUGGAUGAUAGUUUAUUCUUAGGAAAAAGGUUUUCAUCCAUUUUUUUCCCCAGUGUUUUACAUUUGUUCUCAAAACAUGGAAAUCCUAAGGACAAUUUUAGAAAUAAAAAAUUCAUGGCAUGAGGCCAUUUGAUGCUGCCAUUAAGGCACUUCACUGCUGUAUUCCUGGGCUGUCAAGGGAGGAUGGGUGUUGUGUAAAUUAGCAGCAAUCUGCACAUUGCACAGCUGCACAGAAGGACCAAGAGUGAGCUUAACUGAGGGGCAAAAGGGUAGAGCUGGCCAGCAAGAACUGCCUUAUGUAACAGAAAUUAUAAAAAGCCAUUCAGUGUACAAUCGAAAGUGAGAGAAACCUCUGGAUAUGAUGCGUUUAAAAUUCUGGGCUAUUUUGAUACUGGAUCCAAGUCACUCGGAGAGCCCAGUGGUGAUGAAUACACCUCACAACAUGCCUGUUAUUUGCUUUCUGUGUUUACUCCUUCUUUUAGAAGGGUAUCACUCUUUGCUUUUCUGGUCAACAUCAUUUUGGCUGUGUGUUGAUAUACAAUCUCAGACUGCCUGUGAAGAUAGCUUUUCAGCAAUCCCUGCAUUGUGCAAGAAUAGAUUAAGAAAAGUGAAGGGCGAGGUUAAUCAUACUGCUGUGGUUGUGCAGGUGUGCUCAGCACUUUCCUCAAACUUCUGUUGUUAAAGGGUUCCAAGGCAUGUGGUUAAAAAAUGGGCUGCUAACUCUGUAUUCAAACACCUAUAUGUUAAUGGCCUGGCCUGUGAGAAGCAAGGAACAUCCACAUAAAGCCCCAAUGCUCCUCCACACACAUUUGGAGCAUUAUUAUAAAAGGACUCCAAUAUUAAUCCCAUAAACUCCAGAUGGAAGGCUUUAGUAAUGCUAGAAGACUAAGCUCAGUGACUUCUUUGUGAGCUACAUGUACUUAUCAUAGGUGAGCUAGUACGUGGGCCAAGAAGACGUCAGUGAAUGAUUCAUACUUUGAAUCAUUGGAUGGAGAAUGUAGCUGAAAUUAUUCCAAUUUCUUGCUCUGUGUCUCCUUGCAGUAAAGUCUGGUUGAUUAUUGCUUGUUGGUUCUCCUUACUGUCAUUAUUAUUCUCUCUAAACUUCUGCAGCAGCUGCAGUGUUCAUUCUUUCUCUGGAUGUCUAAAGGAGGGGAGAUCAGAGAAUACCAGUAGGUAAAUAACUGUUUUAUUUUGUCAUGUUUUGAUUUGUUUUCUGUCAGUGCUGGAGCAUCUCCUUGAGGAAUGAACAGCUCUGAGCCAUAUCUUGUCCUGGUUCAGGGACGCUGGGUGCUCAGAGCACUGGCUCUUCUGUGGCACAGUGCGUGAAGGGUGAACUGUAUCAAAAAAAGGGCACAAGGAAAAACACAUGCAUCUAAGUUUUUAUCAUUUAUUGGAAACAAGUGUAAACCCCGCUAGCGGCGCUGGGGG
ensembl:lncRNA